UUCAGAAUGUUUCCUUCCUUUUUCUAUCAAAAGAAAUUAAACACCAAACACCCUAAAUAACCCAGGCACAGUUGCCAGCAUCAAAGUUUGGCCCAGGUUUUCAAACAUUACAAGCUACUCAAUGAGCUUUCUAAUGCUGCUAGACAACAACCAACUCAACAUUUUGGAAAGCACAGACUUGCUUAAGCACAUAUAUGUCUUCCAUAACAUGUCUGAGUGGACAGUGGUCCAGUGGUUCUGACACAUACAUGUAAUGCUGGUGUUAAUCAGUUCGCCCACCAACAUAUAUUUUGCAUGCAAGGCAUAGGAUUUAUGUAUGGAAGAAUUAGUGCAGUUUUAGGUGCUUGAUAGGUACUAGGCACAGUUGUUUGUAUAUCAUCAGGAUCAAUGCUCAAGAGUGUAAUUAAUACCCUCUGUACUCAUACAUUUCCCCACGUAUGUCUGGUUUAUGUCAAAUCAGGUCCACUUCAAGCCAAGAAAUUGAAUGACAGCAAGACAUUUGCAUUUUGGCUUCACAACAAAGAUAGGCCACCACUCUGCAAGAUCUAAAAAAGAGACAGGAUUUUCAAGCUGGCAAGAAUAACAGAAUAUGGCAGAGAAAAAAAAGCUACACAGAAAAACAAUUACAAAAAUUAAUCUGAAGAUGUCAAAGGAUGAUUCUAAUAAAAUGUGCACAUGACAACUUGGAGAUAAAUUUACAAAAUAUAGUCUUAAUUUUCACAAGGUAUUUAUACUCUCUGAAAACAUUACAAAUCUUGAGAAAUGAAACCCAACCCCACCCCCUUAAAAAAA